rnacentral:lncRNA from 1 species
UUUUGUCAACACCUGAAAUGGGUUUGUGAUUUGGGUGGUUUUGCAUGAAAAUGGGGGUAGUUAUAGGUGAUGGGGUAGUUAUAUUAUGUUGUGUGGGGCAGUUAUAGGUGAUGGGGUAGUUAUAAUAUGUUGUGUGGGGCAGUUAUAGGUGAUGGGGUAGUUAUAUUAUGUUGUGUGGGGCAGUUAUAGGUGAUGGGGUAGUUAUAUUAUGUUGUGUGGGGCAGUUAUAGGUGAUGGGGUAGUUAUAUUAUGUUGUGUGGGGCAGUUAUAGGUGAUGGGGUAGUUAUAUUAUGUUGUGUGGGGCAGUUAUAGGUGAUGGGGUAGUUAUAUUAUGUUGUGUGGGGCAGUUAUAGGUGAUGGGGUAGUUAUAUUAUGUUGUGUGGGGCAGUUAUAUUACCCUAUUUCAUGUCAUAUAAGAUGCAUGUUUUUGUCUGAAAAAUGGCUAAAACAUCAGUCUGCGUCUUAUAUGUGAAGUUGCAGUCUCCUGCAAGCUAAUGACCGCCCCCCCCCCUUGUUGCUGUCUCCAGUGGGCUAAAUUCUACCUAACCCAACUCCAGAAUUAAAAAUAUGUUAUUGCUUACUUAAACACAUUAUUAUUUUUAAUUAAUUAAAAAAAAUUAAUUAUUGUAAAUAUAAAAGGUCAAUCUAUAAUUAUUUCAUACUGUACUGAUGAUGAAAACCUGAGAUGAUUAACGUCUGUACGGCAGACACCCAACGCUUCAGAGGUAGUUAAGCAGUAACCAUUUCUGAACUCUUACAAGCAUUACAAUCUAUUAUUGCCAUACCUGCAACAUUUAUUUUUAAAUCUACAAAUACCUGAAACAAAUGAAGCUUUACAGAUAAGUUUCUUUUCACAUUUACAUCUGUUAACAUCGUUAUUGUAGCCAGGUCAGACUCGUCACUAACCAGGCUACUGGGCUUAGCUGUUGUUUUCAAUUCCUAUUUUUAGAUAGAUAUACAUAACUUUUUUCAUUUAUUUUUACUGAUAAACAUGCACACACCAUCCUACAUACAUAUUGUGAAAAAAGGUAAAAGAAAUAAUUGUCCUAAGGACAAACACAUAAAAGAAAUGUACUGUACAUUUUUUUGCACACAAGUCAGCUGGCUUAGUGGGGGAGCGGGCGGACAGCUGGGCACUUGGUGGUGGGGGUAACGUUGCUAGGGAAUUGGCAGAGGUAGGGUCACCAUUGCUAUGGUAAACGGGGAGUACAGAUGUACAAUAUAUGCAAAUGGUGACUGUAAAGUUUUCAUUUGGCUUCUAUUUACUGGUUUGGUAACUGGUUUGGUGUAACUUGUAUAUUGAUUUAAGAAAACUAUGGCUGCAGGAGGAAAAUACACACAAGUUUUUUCCUAAACUCCCUGCUAAAAUGGGGGUGCGUCUUAUGUGCUGUAAAAUAUGGGGUAGUUAUAUUAUGUUGUACAGGACAGUUAUAGAGGUGGAAGGCUCCACACCUGUAUGUUUUAGGACACAGCUCUUACACUUGUUCAACUUCUUGCACAUCAUGACACAAAUCAUUGGGUAGCACUAUUUGCAUCAGUGACAUGAACCACACCUUAAACUUAAAAAAAUCCACCAAAGAAUUAGCUUUAAAGAUAAUCGUGUCAUAUUUUUGUGCAUCAUAGAUGACCAUGAUCUUGUGAGUGAACCUUCCAGAAAAUACCAAAGCAAGGGUGGAGUUCCGUUGUCCAUUGGUUUCCUCCCGUCAGCCGUGCUGGUGGGUCACAUUUCUCAUAUUUCCUCUCCCACCUUUCCCACAAUUAGACUUAUCAAAAUUCUAAAGCCAUCAUUGGAAAGCUCAUUAUUUAUAUAUUUAUUUUACUAUAUACAAUAGGUUUGUGGGUAAAUAUCCAAGAUAUGCUUGGAACACACUUUUUUUUAUUUGGAGUGAAAUAUAUAAUCCUAUUCUCGUUCUAUCUAUAUAUUUUUGUUUUAUAUUAAAGCCAAAACAAUAACGAAGUCAAUGAUGCAUACGAGUAUAUGCCGCCACCGCCG